GCCGAGUGCAGUGGCACGUGCCGUUAAUCCCAGCUACUCGGGAGGCUGAGGUGGGAGGAUCGCUUGAGCCCAGGAGUUCUGGGCUGUAGUGCGCUAUGCCAGUCAGGUGUCCGCACUAAGUUUGGCAUCAAUAUGGUGACCUCCCGGGAUUGGGGGUCCGCCAGGUUGCCGAAGGAGGGGUGAACCGGCCCAGGUUGAAAAUGGAGCAGGUCAAAACUCCUGUGCUGAUCAGUAGUGGGAUCACACCUGUGAAUAGCCACUGUACUCCAGCCUGGGCAACGAGACCCCGUCUCU
rnacentral:SRP_RNA from 1 species